AGAGGAUGAGGUGAAGCCUGAGAAACAGAAAAGGAAACAAGGGUUGCGCAGGAGUCCCAUCAGGAAGGUCCGGAAGUCUUUAGCCUUGGAUAUUGUGGAUGAAGAUACGACACAAAAUCUGCCUGCCCUCCCCAAGACUGUGUGUUUCAAAAGAGCCCAGCCUGUGAAUUUCUUGUCAAGGUCCCUGAACCUUUCCUCCUCGAG